GCAGCAGGCGCGCAAAUUACCCACUCCCGGCACGGGGAGGUAGUGACGAAAAAUAACGAUACGGGACUCAUCCGAGGCCCCGUAAUCGGAAUGAGCACACUUUAAACCCUUUAACGAGUAUCCAUUGGAGGGCAAGUCUGGUGCCAGCAGCCGCGGUAAUUCCAGCUCCAAUAGCGUAUAUUAAAGUUGUUGCGGUUAAAAAGCUCGUAGUUGGAUGUGUGUCCCACGCUGUCGGUUCACCGUUNGUCGGUGUUUAACUGGCAUGCCCGUGUGGACGUCCUGCCGGUGGAUGCGGUCGGCCGUGGGCUUCGGUCUGCGUGUCGGCGGUCCGAUGCAAUCCUACCGCGGUGCUCUUCACCGAGUGUCGAGGUGGGCCGGCACGUUUACUUUGAACAAAUUAGAGUGCUUAAAGCAGGCAGUGGUUCGCCUGAAUAUUGUGUGCAUGGAAUAAUGGAAUAGGACCUCGGUUCUAUUUUGUUGGUUUUCGGAACUUGAGGUAAUGAUUAAUAGGGACAAAUGGGGGCAUUCGUAUUGCGACGUUAGAGGUGAAAUUCUUGGAUCGUCGCAAGACGAACCUAAGCGAAAGCAUUUGCCAUAAGUGUUUUCAUUAAUCAAGAACGAAAGUUAGAGGUUCGAAGGCGAUCAGAUACCGCCCUAGUUCUAACCAUAAACGAUGCCAGCUAGCGAUCCGCCGAAGUUCCUCCGAUGACUCGGCGGGCAGCUUCCGGGAAACCAAAGCUUUUGGGUUCCGGGGGAAGUAUGGUUGCAAAGCUGAAACUUAAAGGAAUUGACGGAAGGGCACCACCAGGAGUGGAGCCUGCGGCUUAAUUUGACUCAACACGGGAAACCUCACCAGGCCCGGACACCGGAAGGAUUGACAGAUUGAGAGCUCUUUCUUGAUUCGGUGGAUGGUGGUGCAUGGCCGUUCUUAGUUGGUGGAGCGAUUUGUCUGGU
rnacentral:rRNA from 1 species